rnacentral:rRNA from 1 species
GGCUAACGCUGGCGGCGUGUCUUAGCCAUGCAAGUCGAGCGGACUUAUGGGGUAACUUAUAAGUCAGCGGCGGACGGCGGAGUAACACGUAGCUAACCUACCCUCUGGACGGGGAUAACCUACCGAAAGGUGGGCUAAUACCCGAUGUAGUCAUCCUGUAUAGGGGUGAUGAAAGGUGGGCUUCUGUUUACAAGCUCAUGCUGGAGGAGGGGGCUGCGGCCUAUCAGGUAGUUGGUAGGGUAAUAGCCUACCAAGCCGAUGACGGGUAGCCGGCCUGAGAGGGUGACCGGCCCGAGGGGCACUGAGAUACGGGUCCCACUCCUACGGGAGGCAGCAGGCUAGAAAUUUGGGCAAUGGGGGAAACCCUGACCCAGUGACGCCGCGUGCAGGAAGGAGCCCUUCGGGGUGUAAACUGCUGUCGUGUAGGGAGAAGGGUACUAAGGUGAACAAUCUUAGUACUUGACGGUACUACAGGAGGAAGCCCUGGCUAACCUCGUG